rnacentral:rRNA from 1 species
UACGUAGGGUGCGAGCGUUGUCCGGAAUUAUUGGGCGUAAAGAGCUCGUAGGCGGUUUGUCGCGUCUAUCGUGAAAACCUGGGGCUUAACUCCGGGCUUGCGGUGGAUACGGGCAGACUUGAGUUCGGUAGGGGAGACUGGAAUUCCUGGUGUAGCGGUGAAAUGCGCAGAUAUCAGGAGGAACACCGAUGGCGAAGGCAGGUCUCUGGGCAUUAACUGACGCUGAGGAGCGAAAGCAUGGGGAGCGAACAGG